rnacentral:tmRNA from 1 species
UGCCCUCGCUGCCUAAGUAGCGACUUGCGAAGUGUCAGCCCGGGGCUGUUCCCGACCCGGAUCCUGGCAUCAGCUAGGGGACUAAACCUUGAUCCCGGUCACGGGGUGAAGAGGGAAAUCAAACAGUGACUGAGCCCGUCGGCGACUUGUUCGCGUGAUCGCCGGGGCUGAGAAAAUCACAGCGAACUGCACACGGAGAAGCCCUGAUUCCGCACCGUUGGACGCGGGUUCGAUUCCCGCCAUCUCCACGA